UACAGAGGUCUCAAGCGUUGUUCGGAUUCAUUGGGCGUAAAGGGUGUGUAGGUGGCGCUGUAAGUCGGGUGUGAAAUUUCGGAGCUUAACUCCGAAACUGCAUUCGAUACUGCGGUGCUUGAGGACUGGAGAGGAGACUGGAAUUCAUGGUGUAGCAGUGAAAUGCGUAGAGAUCAUGAGGAAGACCAGUGGCGAAGGCGGGUCUCUGGGACGGUACUGACGCUGAGACGCGAAAGCGUGGGGAGCGAACAGG
rnacentral:rRNA from 1 species